ACGUAGGGAGCGAGCGUUAUCCGGAUUCAUUGGGCGUAAAGCGCGCGUAGGCGGCCCGUCAAGCGGGGUUUCAAAUCCAGGGGCUCAACCUCUGGCCGGACCCCGAACUGGCGGGCUCGAGUGCGGUAGAGGAAGGUGGAAUUCCCAGUGUAGCGGUGAAAUGCGCAGAUAUUGGGAAGAACACCGAUGGCGAAGGCAGCCUUCUGGGCCGCCACUGACGCUGAGGCGCGAAAGCUAGGGGAGCGAACAG
rnacentral:rRNA from 1 species